GGCAUAUUGAAGAGAUACAGCAUGAGAACAUGCAGAUGUAAUGAUGCCUGCUUAGCAGUGAGGGUUUGGUCAGGGAGGAUAUGGGAGCAGGGAAAUCAGGAUAAGCCUGGACACUGCUCCUCUCAGCAAAUCCCUCUCUGCCCCUUGGUACAGGUGGGCAGCCCUUCACUGCUGUGUCUCCUGCAGGGGAUCUCCUGGCUCCUGCUCUCCAAAUGAACUCAACUUCUGCUCAGCCAGGUACCACAGUUGUGCUCCAGUGUAUUCUCCCUGUGGUGUCACAUGCAAGACGAAUCAUCUUCUGCAAGGAUGGGAUGGAGGCGUACAGCCAGAAAGCCCAUCAAGGGCAGCUGAGCUACUCCGUCGUCUUGAACAUCACAUCAAGAAACGCAGGAAGAUAUACAUGUGGGUACCAGCAGACUAAUAACAUGAAACACAUGAGGAGCUCUGCCCUCAGUGCUGGCCGCAACCUGGAUGUCCCAGGUGCAUUUGCUGGCGUAACCACCCAGGACAUCUGCAGCUCCCCAGGUGAGGUUGAGCGUGGGGAUGGGUGAAAGAAGAGAGGUGUGUGUGGGGUGGUGAUGGCAAGGGAGAGGGAAUUUGUUCUCUGUGUGUGAGCUCUUGGGAAGGAAUCGUUUCCCUGCAUGGAACACAAAGCAGUUUGUGUCCAGUUCUGGAAUUCCCUGUUCAGGAGGGGCAUAGAACUACUGGAGAGAGUCCAGACGAGGGCUGCAAAGAUGGUCAGAGGUCUGGAGCUGAGAGAACUGAGCCUGUUUAACCUGGAAAAGAGGAGACUGAGGGGAGACCUCAUCCAUGUCUAUAAAUAUCUGAGGGGAGGGUGUUGAGAGGAUGGAGCUGGUCUCUUUUCGAUUGUGUCCAGGGAAAGGGCGAGAGACAAUGGGCUCAAACUGAAGCAGAGAAAGUUCCAUCUGAAUACGAGGGGCAUUUCUUUACUGGGAGGGUGACAGAGCACUGGAACAGGCUGCCCAGAGAUGCUGUGGAGUCUCCUCUGGAGAUAUUCCAAAUCCACCUGGAUGCCAUUCUGUGCAGUCUGUCCUUGCUGAUCCUGCUCAGCAGAAGGCUGGACUACAUAACUUUCAGAGGUCCCUUCCAACCUUGGCCAUUCUGUGAUUGUGUGAUCCUCUAGCCCCCAUAAUCACAGACAGAUGAGAGUGGUGGUGUUAAAUGAAGAGGCACACCUCUGCCAUGCCGUUUUUU
rnacentral:lncRNA from 1 species